rnacentral:rRNA from 1 species
CACGUAGUUAGCCGGCGCUUUUUCUGCAAGUACCGUCACUUUCGCUUCUUCCUUGCUAAAAGAGGUUUACAACCCGAAGGCCGUCGUCCCUCACGCGGCGUUGCUGCAUCAGGCUUGCGCCCAUUGUGCAAUAUUCCCCACUGCUGCCUCCCGUAGGAGUCUGGGCCGUGUCUCAGUCCCAGUGUGGCCGGUCACCCUCUCAGGCCGGCUACCCGUCGACGCCUUGGUGAGCCAUUACCUCACCAACUAGCUGAUAGGCCGCGAGCUCAUCCCUGACCGAAGUUCUUUCCAGCUGCUGAAGAUGCCUUCGCAGCUCGUAUCCGGUAUUAGACGCCGUUUCCAGCGCUUAUCCCAGAGUCAGGGGCAGAUUGCUCACGUGUUACUCACCCGUUCGCCACUGAUCCAGAGAGCAAGCUCUCUUUCACCGUUCGACUUGCAUGUGUUAAGCACGCCGCCAGCGUUCAUCCUGAGCCACGGAUCAAA